rnacentral:rRNA from 1 species
GAUGAACGCUAGCGGCAGGCUUAAUACAUGCAAGUCGAACGGUAGAAGUCUCUUCGGAGGCUUUGAGAGUGGCGCACGGGUGCGUAACGCGUAUGCAACCUGCCUUCAGUUGGGGGAUAGCCCGGGGAAACCCGGAUUAAUACCGCAUAAUACAGGGGCCCCGCAUGGGGAUAUUUGUUAAAGAUUUAUCGACUGAAGAUGGGCAUGCGUCUGAUUAGCUAGUUGGUGAGGUAAUGGCUCACCAAGGCGACGAUCAGUAGGGGAUCUGAGAGGAUGGCCCCCCACACUGGUACUGAGAUACGGACCAGACUCCUACGGGAGGCAGCAGUAAGGAAUAUUGGACAAUGGGCGGAAGCCUGAUCCAGCCAUGCCGCGUGCAGGAAGACGGCCCUAUGGGUUGUAAACUGCUUUUGUAAGGGAAUAAUAAGGCGAACGAGUUUCGCUGAUGAAGGUACCUUACGAAUAAGCAUCGGCUAACUCCGUGCCAGCAGCCGCGGUAAUACGGAGGAUGCAAGCGUUAUCCGGAUUUAUUGGGUUUAAAGGGUGCGUAGGCGGCCUUUUAAGUCAGGGGUGAAAUGUUGCGGCUUAACCGCAGAAUUGCCUUUGAUACUGGGAGGCUUGAAUGAAGUUGAGGUAGGCGGAAUGUGGCAAGUAGCGGUGAAAUGCAUAGAGAUGCCACAGAACACCGAUUGCGAAGGCAGCUUACUAAGCUUUGAUUGACGCUGAGGCACGAAAGCGUGGGGAUCAAACAGGAUUAGAUACCCUGGUAGUCCACGCAGUAAACGAUGAGAACUAGCUGUUGGCGAUAGAAUGUCAGCGGCACAGCGAAAGCGUUAAGUUCUCCACCUGGGGAGUACGACCGCAAGGUUGAAACUCAAAGGAAUUGACGGGGGCCCGCACAAGCGGAGGAGCAUGUGGUUUAAUUCGAUGAUACGCGAGGAACCUUACCUGGGCUUGAAAGUGAGUGACCGGCGCUGAAAGGCGCCUUCCCUUCGGGGCACAAAACUAGGUGCUGCAUGGCUGUCGUCAGCUCGUGCCGUGAGGUGUUGGGUUAAGUCCCGCAACGAGCGCAACCCCUAUCAUCAGUUGCCAUCAGGUAAAGCUGGGGACUCUGGUGAGACUGCCUGCGCAAGCAGUGAGGAAGGCGGGGACGACGUCAAGUCAUCAUGGCCCUUACGUCCAGGGCUACACACGUGCUACAAUGGCAGCUACAGAGGGCCGCGACCGUGCAAACGGGAGCUAAUCUCAAAAAGGUUGUCACAGUUCGGAUUGAGGUCUGCAACUCGACCUCAUGAAGUUGGAUUCGCUAGUAAUCGCGUAUCAGCAAUGACGCGGUGAAUACGUUCCCGGGCCUUGUACACACCGC